UGAGUAACGCGUGAGAAUUGCAACAGAUGGGGGACAACCAAAGAAACGGUAAUAAUACCGCAUGAGCCUAAAAAAAAAGAUUAAUUGUAGUAGAUGAGCUCGCGUCCGAUUAGGUAGUAGUGGAGUAACGGUUUACCAAGCCAAUGAUCAGUAGCUGGUGGAGAGGAUGACCAGUCACACUGGAAGGAGAGACGGUCCAGACUCUAAGGAGGCAGUAUGAAGAUUUU
rnacentral:rRNA from 1 species